rnacentral:misc_RNA from 1 species
AUACAACUGAGCCAAGCAGCUGGAUCGACAUUUCAUUUAGCCCUAAUGUGAAGGAGGCUAAAAAACUCAUAUUGAUCUUUUCAAUUUGAAGGCUGUACUAAAACAUCAUCCAUGACAGCAUGACCUAUCGUUUUAUAAGCACAAAUAAAGCAGGGAAAACACAGGUGUUAUUAAUCAAAUUCUAGCUGUUAACAUUGCAAACACUAAUCAUUCUUCAGCUCCAAUUCAAACGCUUAUGGAGAGUAACAAAUUCAUAAAGCUGAGAAGGUAAGCGAAUAAAAGGAGAAAGCAAUAAAGAUCAUGUAGAUACCCAAA